rnacentral:rRNA from 1 species
AUUGAACGCUGGCGGCAGGCCUAACACAUGCAAGUCGAGCGGAUGAAGGGAGCUUGCUCCUGGAUUCAGCGGCGGACGGGUGAGUAAUGCCUAGGAAUCUGCCUGGUAGUGGGGGAUAACGUCCGGAAACGGGCGCUAAUACCGCAUACGUCCUGAGGGAGAAAGUGGGGGAUCUUCGGACCUCACGCUAUCAGAUGAGCCUAGGUCGGAUUAGCUAGUUGGUGGGGUAAAGGCCUACCAAGGCGACGAUCCGUAACUGGUCUGAGAGGAUGAUCAGUCACACUGGAACUGAGACACGGUCCAGGCUCCUACGGGAGGCGGCAGUGGGGAAUAUUGGACAAUGGGCGAAAGCCUGAUCCAGCCAUGCCGCGUGUGUGAAGAAGGUCUUCGGAUUGUAAAGCACUUUAAGUUGGGAGGAAGGGCAGUAAGUUAAUACCUUGCUGUUUUGACGUUACCAACAGAAUAAGCACCGGCUAACUUCGUG